GACGAACGCUGGCGGCGUGCUUAACACAUGCAAGUCGAACGGUAAGGCCCUUCGGGGUACACGAGUGGCGAACGGGUGAGUAACACGUGGGUGAUCUGCCCUGCACUUCGGGAUAAGCCUGGGAAACUGGGUCUAAUACCGGAUAGGACCACUGCCUGCAUGGGUGGUGGUGGAAAGCUUUUGCGGUGUGGGAUGGGCCCGCGGCCUAUCAGCUUGUUGGUGGGGUGAUGGCCUACCAAGGCGACGACGGGUAGCCGGCCUGAGAGGGUGACCGGCCAAACGGGUGCUGAGCGACGGCCCAGACGCCGACGGGAGGCAGCUGUGGGGAAUAUUGCACACUGGGCGCAAGCAUGAUGCAGCGACGCCGCGUGAGGGAUGACGGCCUUCGGGUUGUAAAACUCUUUCAGCACCGACGAAGCGCAAGUGACGGUAGGUGCAGAAGAAGGACCGGCCAACUACGUGCCAGCCGCCGCGGUAA
rnacentral:rRNA from 1 species